CUGGCGGAAGUGGGUAUGUUUACUGGCUGCAGCGGCAGGCGGGUAUUUAAUGGAAAUGGACACAAAUGAGGACCUGGUCCAAACAACCAGCAGUAAAACACUGCUUAUCCGACACUUACCAUCUGAUCUAAGCCAGGGCGAGAAAGAAGACCUGUUGAAGUAUUUUGGAGCUGAGACAGUCAGGGUCUUCUCUAACACAGGACGCUUGAAACAUGCUGCAUUUGCAAGCUUUAGAAGUGAUAAGUCAGCAGCAAAAGCUCUUCAGAGGCUCCAUCAAUUAGAGAUUCUUGAUCAAACACUUGUUGCAGAGUUUGCAAAAAGCCAAGAUCAUGUAACAGUAUUAAAGGACCCAUCAGUUUCCGUCAGUGGAAAACAAGCCAGGAAGGAGCAGAAGAAACAGGAAACCAAACUACCAAACAUUCCCCUCAUAGAAACCGGCAUUGCACCUAACCUUGGGUUGAAAUUUCAAUCGAAUCCCACUUUGAAAUAUUUAUACCCACCGCUUUCUAAUGGCAUUCUGACAAACAUAACACACGCCCUCAUCAGUGUGCCAAAGUUUUAUGUUCAAGUACUACACCUGAUGAACAAGAUGAAUUUGCCAUGUCCGUUUGGCCAAAUCACUGCCAGGCCCCCCAUGUAUGAGCACCUGCCUCCUGCACCACCCUUCCCCAUGCCUCCUCCCUUCCCUCCUGAAUACCCCCCUUUACCCGAGGAGGACAUGGAGAUGUCCAGCGGAGAAGAAUCAGAGUAUGAGAGUGGGGAAGACGAAGACAAAGAGAGGAUUGUUCGUCUGAUGGGCCUGGUCAACCAAGCAUGCAAGAGACCCUUGAGACCAAAAACAGCUUCAAAGAGAAAGAAGCCCAGGAUCAAGGAUCUACUCUACGCUCCCAAAGCAGACUCUCAGAGUGCUCCCGUGCUGCAGCCCUCCGACGUGUUCGAGCAGCCCCCCUCCGCCGUGCAGAAGAAAAUUGAAUUCCACAUUGCGGUUCCAGAGGCGGCGGCGGCGGCGACAGAGGAGGGGAGGGAGCCAUGCCAGUCUGAAGAUGAAGGCAGAGAAGUGGAUGAGUUGGAGCCCCCCCCCAGCAGUGGUCAGGAGGUGACAGAGUCGGAGGGUUUUGGGAAGCUUUACCCCAGCACUCAGGCGUCCCGACAGGAGGAGGAGCACAGUGACGACGAGGAGGAUCUCCCCUCUGAUGUCAUCUCCAGGAAGGAGCUGGAGAAAGGACGGCUGUCAAGAGAUGAGAUAAAAAGGAUGUCUGUUUAUAAGAAUUACGACUCGGGUGAGCCAACCUGCAGACUGUACGUGAAGAAUAUCGCAAAGCAAGUGGAAGAGAAAGUAGGACCUGAAGUAUAUCUAUGGCAGAUACGUCAACCCUUCAUCAGAAGCCGAGAGAAACAUGUUUGACAUUGUGUUAAUGAAGGAGGGGCGGAUGAAAGGGCAGGCCUUCGUAGGACUCCCCAGCGAGCAGAGUGCCGAGAAAGCCCUGCGGGACACCAACGGCUACGUUCUCUAUGACAAACCCCUCGUCGUCCAAUUUGCCAGAUCUGCCAGACCAAAGGAAGACACCACAGUUACCAAGAGAGGACCAAAACAAAGGUGAACCCUACAGGUGAGUAAUGUAUUUGGUGACCUGCAAAAAACCACAUUUCUCAUUAUGUCAUAGUGUUUCUGUAUAUAUACUGUAGAACAAGCCUUUUUAUUUUUGUAAUGGUGUUUCUUUUUACAUCUGUGUUUACACUUUAUAUAUUCAAGAUGCCAUGGCUUGAUAUUGUGGCCCAGCAGAACCAUUUGUAUCCUUAUUGUGGCAUAUCCUUUGGAAGAAAAAGUAAAGGAAACGGGGGCAGUUUAUGUGUAGUUAUUGUGGCACAAUUGGAACUUGAAAACAACUCCACCUGUUUUGUAGUCUAAAUUUAAAAAAGACUGAGUGCCUUUCUUUGUUUCUGUAGCUACAGUAUGUCACUUUGUUUAGUGGUAUUUUGGAGCUCCUCUUUACACUUCCCCUGUUUGACUGAAUUUCAGGUGAUGGUCGUCGGAUGUCAUCUUCUUCUUUUAUUACUGAAUAAAACAUAUUUUAUUAAGAUAA